UGUGAUGAAUUGCAGCAGCAAUACUUGGAAUAUAAAGAAGAAGUGAAGCAAUUAUGAUACUUAUUAUUUUUUUAUAAUGACAGAAGGAACGUGGAAGAAAAAACAUUUUGUGCAGCAUGUGAAAACAAGGAAAUCAAAAUAGAAUGAAAGAAGGGCUGCUACUUUUCAUGCGCCCGAACGAAACCAGCCACCUCAUCAUCAUAGCAUGUUGCAUUGGAGCUCUGCUGGAGUUUGCUGAUGACAGGAUGCUGAAGGGCUGAAGCUGGUAGCUCUGGCAGGAGUCCAGUGUCCACCAGCUCAAGAUUCGACGCCGCCGCGUCGCCGCCGUGCGGCACUCCGCGGAGGCGGGGACGGCGGUCAUGAUUGAAGACGCCGCAUUUCCCGCCUGGACUGUCUGGUCGGAGACUGGUAAUCCCUCCGGUGAGCCGCACACCGUGGAGCUACUGCACCGCGCGUGUCCACCCGCAGCGCAGUGCAGUGCCAGCAACGGUGCCGCGAGUGCGACAUCUGCGUGCAUAUGACGCAGUGCGACUGUCACGACUCGCGGCUCAGUGUUCUGUCAGUGUGACAGUGCGGCUCGCGCUCGUUUUAGCGAGGUGCUCUGUUGUAUAUAACCACCUUGAUGGAGACCUAUGUGCUGCCGCUUGAGUUUCAGUGUACAGUUUUAUGCAUCAAACUAGCGUAAGUAAAUGGCUGUCAGAGGUCAAUUUGAAGCGCAAUUAGUACCCAUAACCCAGCUGGGUUGAGCGAGUCAUGUGACUAGUCCCGAUGAGCGUACUGUUUCGAUGUCGUCAGUCGUAGACUUUUGUAAACCAUUCGUUUCGGAGCUCUGUGUUGUGUUGUUCGGGACCGCAGUUGUUUGAGCAGUUUGCUUUAUGCGUCGUACGCUGACAGAACGCUGGUCGUACACAAGUCAUGUGUUUCCUUUCGCCCCUAAUGGGUUACUGCCCCUAAUGGGUUUCAAGCUGCGCUUGGAAAUCGUGCAAUUUUAUUUGCCUUUUGCAAUGCAAUUUUAUUGCCGUUACCGUAUUGGUAGAUAGUGUCAGAAGUUGGCCAUUUGAUGCGUUGUCACUUGUCAGACGCUGUUGCCUUAGUACUGACAAAUUGAUGGGCCGCGUUUGUGUUCCUGUUAAGAAACGGAUCUCAAUAUAAGGUGAUUCAGAGGUAGGGACCUGAAUGCAUUC